rnacentral:rRNA from 1 species
AGUAAUGUAUGGGGAUCUGCCUGAUGGCGGGGGAUAACUACUGGAAACGGUAGCUAAUACCGCAUAAUGUCUGCGGACCAAAGCGGGGGACCUCCGGGCCUCGCGCCAUCGGAUGUGCCCAGAUGGGAUUAGCUAGUAGGUGGGGUAACGGCUCACCUAGGCGACGAUCCCUAGCUGGUCUGAGAGGAUGAUCAGCCACACUGGGACUGAGACACGGCCCAG